AUGGGUAGACUUGAGCACCUAUUCGAGGAAUGGUGCUAUUCUCUUUCGUUCCUCCUCCUGACGAUCGCUUAUUUUCAAGAGAAUUUGGCACAAAAAAUGUCAACUCCUGGGCCGACUUGGGGUCCAACCAUUGACCCCAAUAGCCGCGUCUUUAGUCCCAUUAGAUCUGCAGAAAAAUUGAGGAAUCUCUCAGACACCACAUGCCUCUACCAUUUGUUAUCAGCUACGCUCCGAAACAAAUGUUAUGGCCCAACUGACCCUCUUCGGCAAUUCAAUUCUGAGGAGUUCGCGAGGAAGAUGCAUUUUGGAAAAGCGAUAGCAACGAAUUUCUUUUGUUUUUGAAAUUGGUACGAAUUCUAAGACUGAAAUUAGAUACGUUUUUUUUAAAACCAUCACUCGUCAUUCAAAAAUAGAACGGAUGUGAGGCAUCUUUUUAAAACUGAGCUUGAGCUGAAAUCUCUCGAAGAUAAAUGCAAAUUUAAUUAUUUCGAGCUUUCGAGUUUUCACCUACUAUCGGAACUAAAAAAACAUGACACAACAGACAAAUCACUUAAUCAUUUGCAGAAAUAAUUACAUACUUAAAAGAUAUAAAAUGUGUGACUUUGUCACAUUUGGGCAAUUGCGUUAUUUUUAUUUCCAUAAAAUUUUUACAUUACAACCUAAAUUGACAGCGCCUCGCCGUGGCUAAAAUUACGCUCAAUGGCACACUUUUUACUCACAUACUGGCACUGAUAAAUGCGAAAAAAUUGAAUUACCCAUCAACUACUAUUAGAAGGGCGUUUGAUAGCAAUCAUACAUUUUAAAAAAAACUGUGACACUCUCAAUCGUUUGGAGGUUAAGUACAGCUAAAAUUCAGCCCUUAGCUGCUAGAAAUCCUGGAGUUGAUAUCCUAUUAAAUCCACCCCAAUUUUUUCAAACCUAAGACAUAAAGACGGAUGCUAAAAGCAAAAAAUGAAGCUUCUUUUAACCACCUCUACUAUUGACUAGAGGAUUUGCGGAAAAAUCGGGACAAGUUUGAAAUUCAAAUCUAGGGUGGGAACUGAAUAAAAUUGCGCAAAAAAGUAUUCUAGGUUGAUUUUUGCCUAAAUUCACUUACCCACAGAUUUUUUUUAAGCUUUAGGUUAUUUUUGGUCCGUCAUUGACCAAUUAAUUUCAUUUGGGAGUAACGGUAAUCUAGGACUGUAUAACGGCCUGUUUGAACCGGCAGGACCACCAUGAGCAGAAGAAAAACUAACUUUAUCUGAGAUUACAGCCUGUUACCAAGCAAAUGUAGGUGUAUUAUAAAAAUUCAAUGUCCCAAGCUUCUUAAUAUAUUCGUUGUAGGCAUUUAAAACACGUUCAGAAGAAGAAAUGUGGAAAAAUCAAGAGGACAAGUUCAAAUCAAAUUUCCGCCAUGAAUUCCCGCGCUCAUUUACACUCUCACUCAAGCACCCAGCGCCAAACCAGGCUUCACUCUUUCCCGUGCUUUUAGAUACGUGCACUCAUCCGUCUUUAUGUCUUUGUUUCAAACCGAGGUGCGAAAUCGUAAGGAAUUUAACGCAUGGUUUGUCAGAUUUAUUUCUAGGGGUACGUAACUCUCUCAAAAGGCAAACAAUUUUAGAAACCCUGCACAUGAAUACGCCCCUUUGAGUAACAACGUUUAGUUUAAUAGUUAUAUGUACUAAUCAGGGAAAAUUCGAAAAUUUCAGAAUGAUCAUGAGAUAUUCCAUGAAUUCUAGUCGUAUUUUAGGUUACAAUUGUACAAAAUCUGUGUAUUUCUCUUAUUGCCGCUUCCUUAUCGCUUGAGAUUAUUAGAUUAUACAAUGCACAUCUAUAUCUACACGAGUCAAGAGUUUUUGUUUGGGAAUAUGCAAUAUUCCCUCAAUGCAAGAAUGAUAUAUUUUUGAUAUCUUUAUUUAUAGAGCCUCACAGUAAAAAAUAGAUCACCGGCCUCUUUGGAAGCUAGCAAACCUACACAAUUUCUGUCAUAUUAUUAUAUGUUUGGUAAAGAAUCUGAAAAUAAUUUUGGAGUAUUUUAAUUCCUUCCUUACAAUUCACCUUACACCUAUACCUAAGAUAAAGGUACAUGAAAUAUGUAAUUAUUUUCUUUCAUUAGAUCCUAUCAAAAAUGUCAGGCGAAUAUGUUAAAUUAAUCUUUAUCAGAUGCGGCGGAUGAAAGAGGAAUCUUAAAGUGAAGGGUUUCAAUUCUGCCUGGCCUUGUGUCUUUGCCAAUAGAGACUGAAUUUGAAUAGUUUAUCACAAAAACAGUACGAUUUGAACACUUUUUCAAAUUUUUAUUAUUUUGAAGUAUUGUCAGUUUGAAGUUGGAGUUUUGCAGUACGUCAUGACCAAACAGCUUGUCUGGUACGGUCAUGUCCAUAUGAUGACGGAAGAGAGGCUGCCAAAAAGAUGCUUGAUUGGGUUCCUGCUGGGAGGAGACGAAGGGGACGCCCGGUGAAAGGGCGGCGACAGGGGGUUUUGGAUUAGCUGAGGGAGUUCCAACUCCCUGAUGGGUUGUGGGAGGACGGAGUCGAUUGACAAAAUAAAGAUCUAGAAAUUAAAUGCACUUGGCAACAGCUUAUAUGUAAUUAGAGAUGGAAACAACUCAAGAAACCGUAUUAUACGUAACAUCAAAAUAUUUUCAAUGUUUUGGAACCCGCAUGAAUUUUUACCUCCUGCAUCCACAGGCUUUAAAGUUUUUGUGAUGAAUCGUUGCCCCUGCGCCCCUGCGCUUUAUGUAUUCAUUUUGUUCCGUGAGUCAUAAAAAAUCUACAAAUAUAUAUGAAGCAACCCCUUAAGCCUCAUAAUUUUAGUUACUGACGAUUUUUUUGUGUAUGCUCUUCAAGUAGAAGAUUCAGAUCCCAUGCAUUUGCAUAUUAAAUUUCAUUUUCUAUAAAAAAAGAAAAAGAUACAUCUGAAAGCAAUUUGUGUAAUGCAUGGGUAUAUAGAAAAAAAUCACUUCCUUUACUAUGCCAAUCCUAGCGUUUCAAAGAAGACAAUCUGCGAAGAAUUGGCUAAUAACUGUGAAUAGCAAUUUCGUACUUCAAAAGCUCCACCAUUGAAUUUGCGUGUAAUGUCAAAUCAAUCAGGUGAACAUGGACUUGACAUGGAUACAAGAACCUCACAAUCGUAGUGGUGUGAUUUAAAAAUUAGAAGGUAGCUUUCUAUUUUUAUUUCUUUCUUUAAAAUGUUUUAAUUUCUUUUGGCACAAGAUGGUUUCGAAAUUUCUUAAAAAAUCACUCUGAUAAGAAGCAGUUUGUUUUUAUUUUCCAAACGUUUUUAAACAAAACGCAUGAGAGAAAAUUUAAAGCCAACUUUUGGAGGAACUCGUUAGAUGAUACAUUUUGUGUGUUGUUCAGCUAUCUAUUGAAAAAAAAACGGGUACUAGGUAGUGUGAGUUUAAAUUAUGCAAGUCUAGGACGUUCUUUAAAAUCCUAGUGAGUUACCUAUCUAAAGUCAACACUGACUUUUCUUUAUUUAUGUUCCUCCCGACUCAAUUGGACACUGAACAAAAUUAAUAAAGCUAGGUACAUCUGAUGAAUAAUACAGAACUGACCUUCUUUAAUCACAAUUAAAUU
rnacentral:lncRNA from 1 species